CCCUUAGACGUUCUGGGCCGCACGCGCGCUACACUGACCAGUGCAACAAGCAUCCGUCCUUGGCCGACAGGCCCGGGCAAUCUUUGAACGCUGGUCGUGAUGGGGAUAGACUUUUGCAAUUUUUGGUCUUCAACGAGGAAUUCCUAGUAAACGCAAGUCAUCAACUUGCAUUGAUUACGUCCCUGCCCUUUGUACACACCGCCCGUCGCUCCUACCGAUUGAAUGGUCCGGUGAAGCGUUCGGACCGCUUCCUUUGGACGGGCAACCGUCUGUUGGUCGUGGGAAGUUCGUUAAACCUUAUCAUUUAGAGGAAGGAGAAGUCGUAACA
rnacentral:rRNA from 1 species